rnacentral:tRNA from 1 species
UCCCUGGUAGCUCAGAGGUUAAAGCAUCUGCCUGCAAUGCAGGAGACCUGGGUUUGAUUCCUGGGCUGGGAA